ensembl:lncRNA
CCCAUCACAUUCAGAGGCAGAACUUGGAGACAGGAAGGACAUCACCCUCUUCUGGUCUUCAACCCACAACCCACUGGGGCAAGUUCAGAAGACUAGGGUGGAUACAAGAGGGCCUGGGGUAGAUCACAGGGACAGGGGCCAAACAUGAGGCAGGAGGUACCUGUUUGUCCAAGGGUUCAUACCUAAUACAUAUAGAGAAUACAUAAGUGACAGCUACAGUAGUAAGCAUUCUCAGCACCAUGAGAGCAGACCUACAGCAUGACAGGUAAGUGACAGCUACAGUACUAAGCAUUCUCAACACCAUGAGAGCAGACCUACAGCAUGACAGGUAAGUGACAGCUACAGUAGUAAGUAUUCUCAGCACCAUGAGAGCAGACCUACAGCAUGACAGGUAAGUGACAGCUACAGUACUAAGCAUUCUCAACACCAUGAGAGCAGACCUACAGCAUGACAGGUAAGUGACAGCUACAGUACUAAGCAUUCUCAGCACCAUGAGAGCAGACCUACAGCAUGACAGGUAAGUGACAGCUACAGUAGUAAGCAUUCUCAACACCAUGACAGCAGACCUACAGCAUGACAGGUAAGUGACAGGUACAGUACUAAGCAUUCUCAGCACCAUGAGAGCAGACCUACAGCAUGACAGGUAAGUGACAGCUACAGUAUUAAGCAUUCUCAACACCAUGAGAGCAGACCUACAGCAUGACAGGUAAGUGACAGCUACAGUAGUAAGCACUCGCAACACCAUGACAGCAGACCUACAGCAUGACAGGUAAGUGACAGCUACAGUACUAAGCAUUCUCAACACCAUGAGAGCAGAUCUACAGCAUGACAGGUAAGUGACAGAUACAGUACUAAGCAUUCUCAACACCAUGAGAGCAGAUCUACAGCAUGACAGGUAAGUGACAGAUACAGUACUAAGCA